rnacentral:rRNA from 1 species
GCUUGUCUCAAAGAUUAAGCCAUGCAUGUCUAAGUAUAAACGAAUUUAUACUGUGAAACUGCGAAUGGCUCAUUACAUCAGUUAUAGUUUAUUUGAUGGUCCUUGCUACUUGGAUAACCGUAGUAAUUCUAGAGCUAAUACAUGCGUCAAAACCCAACUUCUGGGAGGGUUGUAUUUAUUAGAUUGAAACCGAUGCGGGGUAACCCGGAUUUUGGUGAUUCAUAAUAACUUUCGGAGCGAGUAAUCGCUGCAUCAUUCAAGUUUCUGCCCUAUCAGCUUUGGAUGGUAGGGUAUUGGCCUACCAUGGCUUUAACGGGUAACGGAGAAUUAGGGUUCGAUUCCGGAGAGGGAGCCUGAGAAAUGGCUACCACAUCCAAGGAAGGCAGCAGG